rnacentral:rRNA from 1 species
CGGGGUGAGUAAUGCCUAGGAAUCUGCCUGGUAGUGGGGGACAACGUUUCGAAAGGAACGCUAAUACCGCAUACGUCCUACGGGAGAAAGCAGGGGACCUUCGGGCCUUGCGCUAUCAGAUGAGCCUAGGUCGGAUUAGCUAGUUGGUGAGGUAAUGGCUCACCAAGGCGACGAUCCGUAACUGGUCUGAGAGGAUGAUCAGUCACACUGGAACUGAGACACGGUCCAGACUCCUACGGGAGGCAGCAGAU